rnacentral:rRNA from 1 species
UACAGGGGGUGCAAACGUUGCUCGGAAUCAUUGGGCGUAAAGCGCACGUAGGCGGUUAUUUAAGUCGGAUGUGAAAGCCCUUGGCUCAACCGAGGAAGUGCAUCCGAAACUGAAUAGCUGGAGUACGAAAGAGGGUCGCGGAAUUCCUGGUGUAGCGGUGAAAUGCGCAGAUAUCAGGAGGAACACCGGUGGCGAAGGCGGAUCUCUGGGCCGUAACUGACGCUGAGGAGCGAAAGCAUGGGGAGCGAACAGG